rnacentral:rRNA from 1 species
AGUGCGUCGUAGUCCGGAUUGGAGUCUGCAACUCGACUCCAUGAAGUCGGAAUCGCUAGUAAUCGUGGAUCAGAAUGCCACGGUGAAUACGUUCCCGGGCCUUGUACACACCGCCCGUCACACCAUGGGAGUGGGUUGCAAAAGAAGUAGGUAGCUUAACCUUCGGGAGGGCGCUUACCACUUUGUGAUUCAUGACUGGGGUGAAGUCGUAACAAGGUAACCGUAGGGGAACCUGCGGUUGGAUCACCUCCUUACCUGAAAGAAGC